rnacentral:sRNA from 1 species
UUUGUUCACGAGUCCAUCGCAUGCGCC